UUUUGCUUCCGCACUUAAUUUAUAAGUUAUUUUCUUUGGACAUUCUGGGGUUGUUACAGUUGGUAUCAGAGUCGCGUUCCUCGGACCCAUUCCUUACACAAAAUCCUUAGGAAGCACCCAAAAUAAUGAAUUAUCACUCAACCAUUCCUUGUGAAAUACAGGUACAGAUAGAUGAGGAGAGGAAGACUCCCACUAAACCGAGCAGCCCGAGAGGGUUCUCUUAGAAAGGAUGUCAACCGGUUAUUUGAGAUGCUGGAGAGAUUCAUUGCUGCCCAGCAGGCCCGGGAGAAAAGGAGGGAGCUACUUACCCUCUCCCGUUGCGACAGGUUAAGCCACCCCUGUAGCGAGAGGAUCUCGAGCCACCCCAGUCUGACCC
rnacentral:lncRNA from 1 species